AUGAAUUUGAACAACAAUGGCCGAGAGCAGCAGAAGUGCUUAGUGGCAUUGACUUGGACUCAAGAAUCAGGAUGCUUGAUGACACAAACAAAUUAUCCAAGGCGUCCAGAUUGCACGACUCUAUUUGGAGUGAAUGCUGAAGCUUUUAUCAACAAAGCCUCAUUUUUGGUCACAAACAGCAACCAGGAAGUUCUGAACUUACAAUACAAGGUCUGCUAUGUGAGAAUUUUAGACCUAAAGCGUAAAUUCUUGGAAGCUGCACUUCGAUACUACAAUAUCUCUCGAAUUGAGCAACGCCAAAUUGGGGAUGAGUAA
rnacentral:rRNA from 1 species